GUCGGUGUAGUAUAGUGGUUAGUACUUCUCGUUGUGGUUUCUAGGUAACUAGAUAAUAAUUCCGAGAGGACCCAUGUUCGAUUCAUGGCACCGACA